rnacentral:lncRNA from 1 species
CGUAUGUUCUGGAUCUUCUGUGCUGGGAUUUCUACAGCUAUCUGGAGGUUGGCAACAGAACUGGGAUUUGGCUCUUGAAAAGACAGGGGAUAUAAUUAUGCUGCCUCUGGGAGACAGGACAAGGGAUUAAAGCUUUUGGGAAGAAAUAUGUGGCCUCGGACACUAGCAGCUGAGGUAGCCCGUGAUUCUAGGGCCAUGUAACUAGACCAAUGAUACAGUCAGAGUAGCUCCACCGCCAGUGCAGUGAGUCAAUGCACAUGCAAAAUGCAACUGCCGUUAAGAGAGCUAGUCUUUAGCACUUAGACUGUAUCCGAAUUUAAAGCAUAUAUGGAUGUGAAAGAUAGCUGGGUAGCAAGGAAAAAAAAGCCUCAAAAAUUAAAUUGAAUUUUUAAAAAGAUUAAAACAAUCUAAAUGCUUUUUCAGUUACCUCUGUCCAACACA